rnacentral:rRNA from 1 species
UACAGAGGGUGCAAGCGUUAAUCGGAAUUACUGGGCGUAAAGCGUGCGCAGGCGGUUAUGCAAGACAGAUGUGAAAAUCCCCGGGCUUAACCUGGGAACCGCAUUUGUGACUGCAUAGCUGGAGUACGGCAGAGGGGGAUGGAAUUCCGCGUGUAGCAGUGAAAUGCGUAGAUAUGCGGAGGAACACCGAUGGCGAAGGCAGUCCCCUGGGCCUGUACUGACGCUCAUGCACGAAAGCGUGGGGAGCAAACAGG